GGCUGGGCCAGGCUGUGGUGCGUCCAAACACCUGCCCUCUGGGCAGGUCGGUGGUGUCAGUCAUUUCAAGAAAGGUCACUUCUCUUUCACUUGCUGGGAAAGGGAGAAGUUCAAGGAAUGAUGAAGGUCUUGGUAGACUCAACCUGAAGCAGCCCUUAGGAGCCAGCAGAUCCGGCAGCCCCAGCAGAUCUCAU
rnacentral:lncRNA from 10 species